GAUGAACGCUAGCUACAGGCUUAACACAUGCAAGUCGAGGGGAAACGAUAUUGGAAGCUUGCUUCCGAUAGGCGUCGACCGGCGCACGGGUGAGUAACGCGUAUCCAACCUGCCCAUCACUUGGGGAUAACCUUGCGAAAGUGAGACUAAUACCCAAUGAUAUCCGUCGAAGACAUCUGAAGUGGAGUAAAGAUUCAUCGGUGAUGGAUGGGGGUGCGUCUGAUUAGCUUGUUGGCGGGGUAACGGCCCACCAAGGCAACGAUCAGUAGGGGUUCUGAGAGGAAGGUCCCCCACAUUGGAACUGAGACACGGUCCAAACUCCUACGGGAGGCAGCAGUGAGGAAUAUUGGUCAAUGGACGAGAGUCUGAACCAGCCAAGUAGCGUGCAGGAUGACGGCCCUAUGGGUUGUAAACUGCUUUUAUAAGGGAAUAAAGUGGGAGUCGUGACUCCUUUUGCAUGUACCUUAUGAAUAAGGACCGGCUAAUUCCGUGCCAGCAGCCGCAGUAA
rnacentral:rRNA from 1 species